UGCCUGAGAGGUUAAGGGUUGGUUACCGCUGGUCCCCGUGAUUAGCUGUGGGCCUGCGUUUACCUGUGGGCCUGGGCUGACUUCCAGUUGUGGGGUUACGUCUGGGCCCAGGGCCUAUCUGGGGUGUUUACAUCAGGCCUGAGUUUACGUCCGGACCCCCUGGGUUUUGCACUGCCACCAGGGGCCGCUUGUAGGUCAUGCAAUUAUGUUGGGCUCGUGGGACUCACGCUUCUGGGUCCCUCGGCAUUGUAUAGAUUUACACACUUUAAAAGCUGUGCCUGAGGAUCCAGCUUCCAGCCUGAAUCUUGCUGCGGACUGAGAUCCCCUUUUGAGGUGCUGACGGGACUUUGCACACCCUCAAUCACCGGGCGCCACCGGAGGUGAAGUACACUGCUUACACAAUCACAAAGCUUUGAGAGACACCCAAGGGCCAGGGCAGGGUGGAGCAACAGGGUUCACCUCCUACAUCUACUCCUUCCAGACUGGGAGAAGAGCUGUUUCACCUAAUGCACAGAAACCAACACAGAGAGUCCAGCAAAGUGAAGGAGCAGAGCUGCACUGAUACCCUGGAUGCCCUGGGAGUAAGACCCUGACCGAAGUGCUGAGCUCUUUGGGUCCAAGAUGCUUCCAGUGACAUCUGAUGGAUUCAUCUUUGUGCAAGGUGCCGGAAAUAAGACUGAGAGGCAGCACCUAUGGAACAGUGACUGAGAGCAUGAGACAUCCAGAAGCAGAUUCUAGGGACCAUGGAUUCACAGAUGACUAGCAGGAUGCCAGGAGAAGGGAAAAAGCAAGAGGACCAAAAAAUACAGGAAGAGGGGCUGAGAUGCCCCAUCUCUGGUUUUAUGAAUGGCCCAGAACUGAUGCAGAAGUAAAUUGAUGUAAUCGGAGAGGCUUCUGAAACGGAAUGAGAACCUGAUGGCCCUUGGAGAAGCAGAGGAACUCGAGGUCUGACCCCUCCCCCAACAGGGGGCUUUGGCAGAAGGGAGACACAGCCUGCCCUUUGAACUCUGGUUACGGGAAAAUCUGAAUCCAGGACUUGAAACCUUCCUAUGACCUAGUCACUAUUUUCAUCACCAGCCUCUGCCCUCUCCUGCACCCCCAUGGGCGUCUCAGGCCACAUUGAGAUGUUUCAUUGGUUUUUUCUUUUCCAUUAUCAUUUAUUACAGGGUAUUGAAUUUAGUUUCCUGUGCU